rnacentral:RNase_MRP_RNA from 2 species
UCCGCGCUCAAAGAAUCGCAUUCGAAGCUCACACACAGCGACGGCGUAUAUCAGCGCUCGCUCUUCUUCGCUUCGGGAGAAAGUCCCCGGACCGCCUUUCUCGCUCACGCAGGAAAAGGACAUGCCGAAAGGCGCCGCCAUAAAAGCAUCUUCCGCGGCUCACCUCGCCGAUUCACCUACUCUUCCUCCUCGAACCCCGUUAUGCGACUUGAAAGCUCUCUAAGGUCCGACCUCACUGCCGUUUGUAUCCUUCUUGCUCUAGCUCUUGAUGGGGUCUUGGUGAAAAGAUGGAUGGAUGAAGAUAUGAGUCCGUCAGGGUGCUUUGCGCUCGUCUGGAAGGUAGGACCCAUGCAUCAUGCAGUCUCAGAGCCUGAGGAGAGGCGGUGAGGGUAAGCAAAAUUGGGAUCCGAGUUGCUAUAAAGCUCGUGGGACCAGAGGAGGUUUGCAGGCUGUCGGUCGCGCGAUUUGUCGAACGUUGAUAGUUAUGCGAUUGUCUCUUGAGGAGAUAACUCGACGGGGCUUAUUCUUGAGGCGCGG